rnacentral:lncRNA from 1 species
CCUGAUUUCGAUCUGUCAAAAAUAAGUCUGCUGCAGAGCAGACUUAAAUUUGACAGAUCGAUAGUUAUUUUCUUUUUCGCUCGCUCGGGCGAUCGGUGUUAGAUGUUUACUUUCAACAUAAUGUUGUUUCCCCUAUCCGGUAAUUCAUCUGCGGUCGGAUAUUCCUGCUGCCUUCGCAAGAUUCAAGACCAGUAAAAUGACGGAACAGGUUGCAAGGGUGGGAUGAAAUCCUCACAACCAGGAUUCUUUCCUGAGCAGCUGGCAAGGUACUCGCAAAGCAUUUCGACGUACAAAACAUCUGGAAAGCAGCGACCACAGGAGACCUGAUGAUUUCCAGUAUAUCUCAAGCUGGAAUCAACCAAAAUAGUCUCAUCAAGGUGUACAAUGCAAGGACCUGCGGAAAUUUGGACUAUGUCGAGCUUCUAGUGUCCAAAAUAGAAGUCAAUAAAGUGCAUGUUGGAACAAACGCCGCCGAAGAUUAUGAUUGAAAAAGCUGAGUUGCUAUUGGUGAAAAAUCCCAAACCCCGUCUAUGUGCCCAAAACAAGUUCAUCAGUUCUCUACAUGUAGCCGUGGAACGGCGGAACUGGAGUCUGGUUGAACUACUCGUUGAUUAUCAUGCGAACUUGAAUGUUUCGGAUUUCGCUGACGAGGCGCCACCCCCACAGAAUUGGAAUAAGGAACCGUAAGAAUAGGAAAGCAAGGCGACUAUUUUCAAAGUGUUUUCCAUCAAUGACGAAUUUCUUCGGCAUCUACGUUUCUAUCUAAGCUAUUUAGCUUUGAAGAUGAAGGCAGGGGAUUUAUGGUCGGAAUUGUGGACGGAGUUGUUCUAAUAACCAACUACUCAUUGUCACGCCCCAUUUACGACAAAUUAUGAUCAUUCAGUUCGAUGUAUCGCAUUAAUGACAGAUCACCAUGCAUUCUUACUGGAAUUGUCGAACGUUGAGAAUAUAAUGCAGCAUCAAAGGACUACGACGACUUUGACUAUAGAUCUGAUGAAGCUCGUCAAAGGCCUUGCAUAAAACACCUAUGUAGAUAAACAUUUAGCU